UACGUAGGGGGCAAGCGUUGUCCGGAUUUAUUGGGCGUAAAGAGCGUGUAGGCGGCCAGGUAGGUGGGUUGUGAAAACUGGAGGCUCAACCUUCAGACGUCGACCCAAACCCCCUGGCUAGAGUCCGGAAGAGGAGAGUGGAAUUCCCGGGUGUAGCGGUGAAAUGACGCAGAUAUCGGGAAGAACACCCGUGGCGAAGGCGGCACUCUGGGACGGUACUGACGCUGAGACGCGAAAGCGUGGGGAGCGAACGAGG
rnacentral:rRNA from 1 species